rnacentral:rRNA from 1 species
GUACACUCCUGCGGGAGGCAGCAGUGGGGAAUAUUGGACAAUGGGCGCAAGCCUGAUCCAGCCAUGCCGCGUGAGUGAUGAAGGCCCUAGGGUUGUAAAGCUCUUUCACCGGUGAAGAUAAUGACGGUAACCGGAGAAGAAGCCCCGGCUAACUUCGUGCCAGCAGCCGCGGUAAUACGAAGGGGGCUAGCGUUGUUCGGAUUUACUGGGCGUAAAGCGCACGUAGGCGGACUAUUAAGUCAGGGGUGAAAUCCCGGGGCUCAACCCCGGAACUGCCUUUGAUACUGGUAGUCGUGAGUUCGAGAGAGGUGAGUGGAAUUCCGAGUGUAGAGGUGAAAUUCGUAGAUAUUCGGAGGAACACCAGUGGCGAAGGCGGCUCACUGGCUCGAUACUGACGCUGAGGUGCGAAAGCGUGGGGAGCAAACAGGAUUAGAUACCCCAGUAGUCC